rnacentral:ncRNA from 1 species
CAUCAAAAACCAAGUCUCUAAGCAAUGGAUGUCUUGGCUCCUCACACGAUGAAGAACGUGGCAUAAUGUGUUAAGUAACCGGAGUUGCAAACAUCAUGACAGGUUAAUCUUUGAAUGCAAAUUGCGCUAAACUCGAUCUCGGUCGAGAAGCAUGGGUGUGACAGUACUACAUCUUUUAUAAUAAUUCUUAUUCUAAGCGAAUAAGUAAAUAAUAUAUAAGACAAACAACACGUAGUCUGCCAUACGCAGGAAGACCCGCUGAACUGAAGCAUCUCAUUAAGCGGAGGAAAAGAAACUAACUAGGAUUCCCUUAGUAAAGGCGAUCGAAAAGGGAACAGCCCAACGUCUUAAUCCCGCAAGGGAAAUGUAGUCGGUUCACCUAUUGCACUGGUCUAAGUCAGAUGGAAUGCUGCGCGAUUCAGAGUAAAAGCCUCGUAUGACCAACCGCAAGCUUACGAUGGACCGGGGAGAGUCCGAUACUUUGAGAGUAGUGUCUUAAGGGGGUGGUAUGUCCCCUCCAA